rnacentral:rRNA from 1 species
UACGGGGGGGGCAAGCGUUGUUCGGAAUUACUGGGCGUAAAGGGCGCGUAGGCGGCCUGCUAAGUCGGAUGUGAAAUCCCUCGGCUCAACCGAGGAACUGCAUCCGAUACUGGCGGGCUUGAAUCCGGGAGAGGGAUGUGGAAUUCCAGGUGUAGCGGUGAAAUGCGUAGAUAUUGGGAGGAACACCAGUGGCGAAGGCGGCUCACUGGACCGGUUCUGACGCUGAGGAGCGAAAGCGUGGGGAGCAAACAGG